AGGAAUUCUCUCUCGUGAUUGUGCUAAGCUUUCUGCAAGCCUUAGCACCCUAUUUAUACUAAAUAGGUUGAGACCAUACAACAGGUCGAUUUCCAAUUCUAAAACUAAUUGGAAUGGACAAUUUCCUUUUUCUUUAUGGAAUAGGAAAUUGUCCUUUGUCUUCAUGUUUUCCUUUUCUUCUUGCAAAAGGAAACUCUUCAGUCUUCUAGAAUCUUCUCUAAGCUUCUAGUCUUCACUUCAAACCGCCAUAACAAGAUUCUGCAUAUUUCCUUAAUCUUGUUCAUGUUGCUCUGUUCUCUUGAGUUACUUCUUGACUUAGUUCAGGUACUCCUUCAGAAGCUGCAUCUUCAAUCUCCCCCUUUUUAAUCUUGUGUCUCUCAAGCACCUGCAUUUGAAAUCUUCUAUCUUUUGUAGACAUUUUUCAUCUCAAGCAAUCACAAAAUUUAAACACCCGAAGUUUAAAAACUUUUAGCAACAUUGUCCAACACAAAUUAACUCCCCCAGAAUCUGAGAAUCAAGCAACAACAAAGUCUGGAGUUUAAACAAAAUUAUCAAAUAACUACUCCCCCACAACACAUGAACUCCCCCAGAAUCAUAGCCAUACUUCUUUUUCUCCCCCUGCUUGAGAGCUCAAGGUUAAAAACCAAACUUCCUACAAUCUUUUAGACAAAGGAUGACUGAGAACAAGUUGUUGGAUUACUUCAUUCAUCUUGGAGAUAGCCUGAGCUGUGUCUAACAAAGCCAUAAACAUUCCCUCUCUAUCAUCCUCAUCAGGGUGAGGCAGGCGGAUGCUUCCAAUGUCCACAACAGUAUAGCCUUGAUACUCUGGAUUAAACUGAGAAGAAGGUUCCGAGACAUUUUGAGGAGCAGUUCUUGAAGUAUUUGGCUGAGUGCUAGCUUUUGCUUUGCCCUUCAUCCUUUCAGUGUAAGCUUGACCAGUUCUGACAUCCUUUUUGUAGAACUUAGGAGUCACAAACUUUUCUCCAGAAUAGAUUGUCACUUCUUUUUGACUUAUGAGCAUCCCAUAUAUGAUUCGGGGAAACACUAACCAUCUUUCAUCCUUGUUCUGAACAAGUGACAUCACUUGAUUAAAGAUCAUCUUACCAACAUCAAUUAUGAUUCCAUGAAAGAUCUUGUAGAUGAGCUGAGCUCUCUCAACUGAAACAUAAUCUGGAUUAGAGGAAGGAAUCCAAUUCUGAGCAGUGAUUCGUAGAAGAGCUCCAAUUCGAGGAGAAAAAUUCUUGAAUACUAAAUCAUCCCAGCCAGUCUUCUCAUCUUCACUUAGCAGUUCUGCAAGUUGUUCUUUUCCAACAGAAUCAGCAUCACUAUCUGCCUUAAGUUCCUCUUUGGUUAAAUCUUUAAAACCAAGAAAUUUAUUGAUUUUCUUUGGUGAAAACUCAUAGUCAUGCCCUCUGACAAACACACUGACCUUCUCAGCAUUUUCUUCAGACUUUUCACAAGGAAGAUUUGCAUAAAAUUCAGACACUACUUCCCGCACAUAACUUCCAAGAUUUGUCACUGUAGAUUCCAAUCUCGCAUUCUUGAUCAAGGUUAAGUAACCCCAAGAAUCCUCUUUUUCUAAAUCAAUCAGGCGUUCCUCAAUCAAGUUUCUAUUUUUAAACAAAUCAUACCUUGCUCUAGCUUGAGAUGAUGAAAAUAGCUUUGAUCGAAAGCUUUUCUUGGAAGGACUUUUGCCUGAGCCUGAAGCCUUGAUAGAUUUGCUUUUCUUUGAAAUUGGUUCAGCCUUCUUCUGUUUCUUCUUUGGAGGAGCUAGAUCUAGCUGUUUAAAGACUCUUUUCUUACGAGCUUCCUUCUCCUUCUGAUUUUUCUGAAACUGUUCUUCAACAGUCAUUUCAGUUGGUUGAAUCUCAACAUCAGAGACAUGAAUUGCUUCGUCCCUUACUACUUCUUCAGUAUUUUCUUCUUCUUUGUCAGACAAUUCUGGAUCUGCAUGUGGAAAAACUCGAUUUUCCUCUCCUAGAAUCACAGUAUCCUCAGUUGAUUUUGAUUUCUCAGCCGAAAUUUGGUCAGAUCUGAUGAUGUCUUCAUCGAUUUGAGACACCCGUCGACUUGAUUCCUUGAUUUCACCACGAAGAUCCUCAGAUUUUUCAAUUUCUUCUUCUGGCACAGUGUCUGUUGACACAUCCUCUGUAGGUUUGACUCCAUUGACUUGUUCAGAAAGUACCUCAGUUUCUCCAUCAAGCUUCUUUGAUUCUUCCUCAGGUUUCCUGAUUUCCUCAGACUCGUUGCUUUUAUUUUCUUCAUUAGCUGUUGCAAAUGAGUCAUCUUCAUCACCACAAGGAACAAGAGAAGGAGGCGCUGCAAUAGAUUCGUCAAUCAGUUGCGGAUUAGCUUCAACUCCAUCAGAACGAUCUUCUGCAGUUGUUCUUCUUCCACCGAUUGGACCUCUGUUAGUAGCUUUCACUAUUGUCGCGAUUUGAGAGUUUUUCUCCAAGGAUUUUCUUGCUUCUUCUUUUCUUAGGGUUUUCGAAAACUUUUCAUUUCUUUGUUUUGCUCUUCUCCCAACGAAUAUUUUCACCAAGAUUUGAGAAAAUCCUUUUUAUGAUUGCAUAUCCUUUUUUAAAAAAUUCAAAAACUCGAUUUUUGCCAAAAACAAACCGGAAUAAACCAUUCUUGGAACUUCUAAUGUGAUAAACCAAACCAGAAAUUUUGAAUUGAACCGUAUCUUCAUAACCAUAUCAGCUCUCAUGUUCUCUGACUGAGUCAGAUCAUAGUUCACAUACUCCAAGUGAAUUUCUUAAUGUGACGAACCUGUUGAAGUCCAAUGCCUUUGUAAAAAUAUCUGCCAGCUGAAUCUCUGUCCCAACAUGAUCAAUCUUAACCUUCUUUUCUUCAACCAAUUCACAAAUAAAGUGAUGUCUUACAUCAAUGUGCUUGGUUCUUGAAUGUUGCACCAGAUUCUUUGAGAUAUCGAUUGCACUCUGAUUAUCACAGUAGACUUGAAGAACUCUAGAGUCUAUUCUAUAAUCUGCUAACAUUUGCCUCAUCCAAAGUAACUGUGUGCAACAACUUCCCAUGGCAAUAUACUCAGAUUCUGCGGUAGAUAUUGACACAGAAUUUUGCUUCUUACUCAACCAAGCAAUUAGAUUGUUUCCAAGAAAGAAACAUCCUCCGCUUGUACUCUUUCUGUCAUUCACACUUCCUGCAUAAUCAGCAUCACAGUAACCAACCAGAUUUUGAUUUGAGUUUUAUGAAUACCAAAUACCAAGAUCUACAGUUCCUCUGACAUACUUCAGAAUUCUCUUCACAGCUUCAAGAUGAGACUGUUUAGGCUUUGCUUGAUAUCUAGCACAAACUCCAACACUUAGACAUAAAUCAGGUCUGCUAGCUGUUAGAUAUAAGAGACUUCCAAUCAUUCCUCUGUAAGUUUUGACGUCUACAUCUGUUCCAUUUUCAUCUCUUGAUAAUUUCAAUGAGGUACUCAUAGGAGUUUUAGCUUCUUUGCAUUUAUCCAUUUGAAACUUCUUCAAGAUCUUCUUAGCAUAAGUACUCUGUGAGAUGUAGAUUCCUUCAUCCGAUUGAACUAUCUGCAAUCCCAAGAAAUACUUCAAUUCACCUACCAAACUCAUUUCAAACUCUUUUGUCAUGUUCUCUAUAAACUGAUCCACCAACUUCUGAGAAGUACUCCCGAAAAUAAUAUCAUCAACAUAAAUCUGCACCAUCAUGUUCUCUUUGUUUUCUUCAAGAAUAAACAAAGUUUUAUCAACACUUCCUCUGUUGUAACCUUUCUCAAGCAGAAAGUUAGUCAGCCUUUCAUACCAUGCUCUAGGUGCUUGUUUGAGUCCAUAUAGAGCCUUCUUUAACUUGAAAACAUACUCAGGCUUCAUCAUAUCUUCAAAUCCUUUAGGUUGCUCAACAUAUACUUCUUCUUGUAGUAUACCAUUUAGAAAAGCACUUUUAACAUCCAUUUGAUGAACCGUGAAGUUAAGAAUACAAGCCAUUCCCAAGAAAAGUCUGAUUGAUUCAAGUCUUGCUACAGGUGCAAACGUUUCUUCAAAGUCAACACCUUCGAUUUGAUUAUACCCUUGUGCUACCAAUCUUGCUUUAUUUCUGACAACUACUCCUUUUUCAUCACUCUUGUUCUUAAAAAUCCAUUUGGUUCCUAUAAUAUUUGUAUCCGCAGGUCGUUUAACCAAUUCCCAAACUUCAUUUCUUUCGAACUGUUCUAGCUCUUCCUGCAUAGCAAUGAUCCAGAAAUUAUCUUCAAGUGCUUCAACAUGAUUCUUUGGUUCAACGGAUGAAACAAAGCAUUGAAACUGCAAAGUUUCCCAUUCUGCAAAAUUACUUGUCAUCUUCUUGAAAUCAAGCUUUACACCUCUGGUUUUCAUCGGAUCUUGGAGAUCUCCAAUGAUGUCUGAUGAUGAAUGAUUUUUGUGUACCUGAAUUUUCUGAGCUUCUUUGUGACUAUCUUCUUGUUCUACCGAUGAACCAUCCACUUUUUCUUUAACCUCUUUAUUGGUUAUCUCAUCCGGUUCUGUGUCACUUUCUUCAAGUUCUUCACUAACCUUUGACACAUAAUGAUCAUCAAAUACAACAUUAACUGAUUCCAUAAUAGCACACGUUCUUUUGUUGUAGAUUCUGAAUGCUGUACUAGUCUCUGAGUAACCCAGAAACAUGCCUUCAUCACUUUUGGAAUCAAAUUUUCACAAGGUAGUCUUUGUCAUUCAGUAUAUAGCAUCUGCAUCCAAACNNNNNNNNNNNNNNNNNNNNNNNNNNNNNNNNNNNNNNNNNNNNNNNNNNNNNNNNNNNNNNNNNNNNNNNNNNNNNNNNNNNNNNNNNNNNNNNNNNNNNNNNNNNNNNNNNNNNNNNNNNNNNNNNNNNNNNNNNNNNNNNNNNNNNNNNNNNNNNNNNNNNNNNNNNNNNUGUGGAACUUGAUUUCCAUGCAUCAUUGCUCUAGCCAUCUCUUGAAGAGUUCUAUUCUUCCUUUCUACAACCCCAUUUUGUUGAGGUGUUCUUGGAGCUGAAAACUGAUGAGCAAUUCCAUGCUUUUCACAAAAAUCUUUCAUGGACUCAUUUUGAAAUUCUCCACCAUGAUCACUUCUUAUUCUUUUAAUACCUCCUCUCUCAUUGAUAAGCUGAAGAGCCCAUAUUCUGAAACUAUCUGUUGUGUCUGACUUCUCUCGAAUGAAUCUCACCCAUGUAUAUCUAGAAAAAUCGUCUACCAAUACAAACACAUACUUCUUCCCAGCUAUGCUUUCAAUUGGCAUUGGCCCCAUUAAAUCCAUAUGUACCAAAUCAAGUGCUGACUUAGUCUGAACAUCUGGAACUUUCUUGUGCUGCACUUUGACUUGUUUCCCUUGAUUACAUGGUCCACACAUCAUCUUAUCUUCAUCUUUAAGCUUAGGAACUCCUCGGAUAAUUUCUUUGUCAACCAAAGUAGUCAGAUUUCUUGUAUUCAUGUGACCUAGACGUUGAUGCCAUAUAUUAAGGUUGUCUCGUGCAGAGAAACAGUUGGUUGUACGAUUUUCCCACAUGUAACAAUUGUUUCCUGUUCUCUUACCUCCUAGAACAAUGUCACCGGUUUCAUCAAACGCUUUGCAAUCUUCUUUAGUGAAAGUAACUUCUAGACCUUCGUCACACAACUGACUCACACUAAUAAGAUUAGCCUUUAAUCCACGAACAAGAUAGACAUUCAUCAGCUGAGGUAGCUCUACAUCACUAGUUUUUCCUUUACCUUGUAUGUCUCCAUGACCUCCAUCACCAAAAGUUACUUUACCUCCUUUGAUUUUCUUGAUGUCUUGUAAGUAAUCUUUUGUGCCUGUCAUGUGGCGUGAACACCCACUAUCAAAGUACCAAGGACUCUUUUUCUCGCAUUCCUCUGUGACUAACGCCAUGUUGCAUCUAAAACCAAGUCCUGCUCUACUUCCUGUAUCUCUUUAUGCAGUUCUUCUGACUAGAGUUGGAUAUAGAUCAAUUUUCUUUACCCCGAUUUGAGGUUUAUAUCCAUUCCAUGUAAACUUCCUUUGAUACCUGAGUUUUUCCACUUUCUCCCAGUACUUGUAACAAUGAAUCUUUAUGUGCCCAAUCUUUCCACAGAAAUAGCAUCUGAUGCCUUUGAAAACACUUUUUCUUGAUUCAUCUUGUGCAUGAUGAGAUAUUCCUCCAGACACAAACUUGGUUUGACCUGUGCUUGUUUCUCCAUGACCAGUGUACCCUAGUCCUCUGUUUGUUUUUUCCGUCCUUCCAUAGCUUAGAAUCUGAUCUAGUUGUUUUGUUCCAGCAAACAUGUGAAUCUUCCGAUGUUGUUGAUUAAGUUCUGUUUGUAGUUCUGCAGAUAUCUUCCUUUCAGCGAUCAGUUCUUUCUCCAAAUUAUCAGCUUUAGCAGACAAGCUUAGUUUUUCUUUCAUCAAACUCAAACUUUCUUUGCUAAUCUUCUUUUCAUCUUCUAGUUGAUUCUGUAAUAGUUCAACAAGUGAUUCGAGACGUAUCUUUUCUUUCAGCAAAUCUUGAUUUUCUGUUCCAAGUUUAAUCAAAGUUUCUCUCACCUCUUUGUAACUUUCAACAAAAUUCACUUGUUGUUCUUCAUCUGAUUCAGAGUCAGUUUCUUCUUCACCUUCAACAAACUCAGUAAUGCCUAUCAAUGCUACAUAAUUUAAGAUGUCUUCUUCCUCACUCUCUUCCUAAGAUUCUUCUUCAAUACCAAUCAUUGAUUUCUCUUUUCGACUACUGAUACAGUCAUCUUGAGCAUGUCCCAUUCCUUUGCAUGUUGUGCAUUUAGUUUCUCGUUUCUUGACUGUUGGACAUUCACGAAUAAAGUGUCCAUACCCUUUACAUUCAUGACAUUGCAUGUCAGCUUUCUUUGAUGGUUUGGUAUCGUCAGAAUUCUUUUUGAAUGAUCCAAACUUCUUCUGUCCUUGUCCUUGUUCUGCUCUCUUCAACAACCGAUCAAACCUUCGAACUAACAGACUCAAUGAAUCUUCUUCUUUUGUUUGAGAUUUGCUUUCACAAGAUGUCAACGCCAACCCUUUUGGUUUCUUAGUUCCUCCUAAUUCAAGCUCAUGAGCCUGAAGCAUCCCUACAACUUCAGCAAAACUGAGAGUAUCAGUAUUAUUUGACACUGUUAGAGCUGUUUUGUACGCCAUAAAUCUCGGAGGUAGACAUCUUAGAAAUUUUUUGACCAACUUCUUGUCUUUAUACUUCUUCCCAAGAGUUAAAGCUUCUNNNNNNNNNNNNNNNNNNNNNNNNNNNNNNNNNNNNNNNNNNNNNNNNNNNNNNNNNNNNNNNNNNNNNNNNNNNNNNNNNNNNNNNNNNNNNNNNNNNNAAUAUCCCAACUUCCUAACAGUUCACACCCUGAAUUAAGUCAAGUUUUUCCUUCCAACACUGCAGUGAAUAGCUGUGAGAGCUCUAGCAUUGAAUUUAGACUUUUUCUUCUCAUCUUCAGUCCAGUCUGACUCGGGUUUGGCUGUGAAGCUUCCAUCUUCAUUCUUAAUUUGUGGUUCUUUCCAUUCUUCCAAGACAGCUUUCCAAGCUAACACAUCUAUCCCUCUUAUCACAGAUUUGAUUUUUGACUUCCAAAAACCAUAGUUACAAUCGUCUAGAACAACCUUCGCGUUUUUAAGCAGUUCUUGAUAGCUCUCCAUCUUUUCCACAAGACCUCACCUGUAUGUAAUCUUCACAAGCGACCGCUCUGAUACCAAUUGUAAAUGCAAGAGCUACUAAGUUUUGAAUUUGUUCACGAUGCAACUCAGAAUUUCUCAAAAACUCUUUCGAUUAAUAGAAAAUAUGUUUACAAGGUUUCUCCUUUAACACUAUUUUCUAUUAUCACUAAGUCUUGUUCCUUAAUCACAGACCGAUUAAGAACAAUAACUCUCCUUAAAACCCUUAGCUCUCUUUAAGCCUCUAGUUCUCUAUUUCUCUCAAACUAAGACUUAAUAGCUAGGAAUUCUCUCUCGUGAUUGUGCUAAGCUUUCUGCAAGCUUUAACACCCUAUUUAUACUAAAUAGGUUGAGACCAUACAACAGGUCGAUUUCCAAUUCUAAAACUAAUUGGAAUGGACAAUUUCCUUUUUCUUUAUGGAAUAGGAAAUUGUCCUUUGUCUUCAUGUUUUCCUUUUCUUCUUGCAAAAGGAAACUCUUCAGUCUUCUAGAAUCUUCUCUAAGCUUCUAGUCUUCACUUCAAACCGCCAUAAC
rnacentral:lncRNA from 1 species